rnacentral:lncRNA from 10 species
AUGUCAUGAAGUCUGAUAACCUGUGGAAUCCUGUUGCCUCUUAACAGGAUGCUAAGAGUGGCACAUUCCAGUCAGAGUUGAACAACAGUUUGAACUGCAAAGGUCCACCUGAUUUUUUUCUGCCUCUGCUACCUCUGAAACAGCAAGAUCAGCCCUUGCUCUUCCUUCUGCUCCUACUCAACAUGAAGGCACAAAGACGAAGACUUUAUAAUGAUCCAUUUUUACUUAAUAAGCGGUGAGGCACUGAAGGCAGGCUCCCACUAGUCUUUAAUGGAAAUAUUACAAAGUAGAAGGUAUUCAAAACUUUUGUGAUCCAGAACUGUACGUUAGGAAGAGAUGAAAAAAGAGGAGAAAAAGGAAAAAGAGGUGAUAAUGAAGAUGACAGAAGAAAGAUAAAGAAAAGGAGAAGGUCGUAGGUGAAGGAGGAAGCAGAGAAGACAAAAGGAGACAAUAAAAAAAGACAGAAACAGUUUGGGAAAUAUG